GCCAAGCGCGGUGACAUGAGCCUACAGCAGCAGCACAGCCCAGCUCUUCCCAGGCCACGGAUGGAGGGAUGGACCGUUGGCGUCUCUUUCAUGGUGACUGAAGCACUCUGAGCUAGAAGUGGGACCGAAAAAAAGGAGAAGAUUCAAUUCAAAUAGAGUUGGAAGAUGGAGGCCAGCAGAGAGAAAUGGAAGAGUCAACUUUUUAAACAGGAAAGAAAGAAGGCUAUAACCUAAAAACCCACAAAACCUGAAGGACCUCCUGAGUCCUCUGCCAUCCUCUGCAGCAGGACACCCUCCAAACACAUCUGGACACUGGGAUACACCUGCUGUGUGGUGGCUUAGACCAAAUACCCCUGAAAGCUUUCUCCACCUCGAUAGAACGUUUAUUCACAAAAGGUGCCAGCAACCAAGGAGUCAAUGUGAGAUCGCUGGAGAACACCCGUUAAUUGGUUUCAGAAGAUCUUCAAACAGGACUCGGAAACAAAUCAAACCGGUGUAAGGGAAAGAAGAGAUUUGGGGUCACGAUACGGACCUUCGCCUUUCUCGGCUGGUAAAAACCAUCGUCCAUAUUUCUUCUCAGCAAAAGUUUGGCUCUACACCAGCUUCAGCAAUCACAAGGACUAAUAUCUAAGAAAGACUGCAUUAAAAGUAUAAUGUAAAAAUAUGUCUCUAAUAAAAGGAAACGAGAAUUCCA
rnacentral:lncRNA from 1 species